GAUGAACGCUCGCGGGAGGCCUAACACAUGCAAGCCGAGCGGUAUUGUUUCUUCGGAAAUGAGAGAGCGGCGUACGGGUGCGUAACACGUGUGCAACCUGCCUUUAUCUGUGGGAUAGCCUUUCGAAAGGAAGAUUAAUACUCCAUAAUAUAUUGAACGGCAUCGUUUAAUAUUGAAAGCUCCGGCGGAUAGAGAUGGGCACGCGCAAGAUUAGCUAGUUGGUGAGGUAACGGCUCACCAAGGCGAUGAUCUUUAGGGGGCCUGAGAGGGUGAUCCCCCACACUGGUACUGAGACACGGACCAGACUCCUACGGGAGGCAGCAGUGAGGAAUAUUGGUCAAUGGGUGCAAGCCUGAACCAGCCAUCCCGCGUGAAGGACGACUGCCCUAUGGGUUGUAAACUUCUUUUGUAUAGGGAUAAACCUACCCUCGUGAGGGUAGCUGAAGGUACUAUACGAAUAAGCACCGGCUAACUCCGUG
rnacentral:rRNA from 1 species